rnacentral:rRNA from 1 species
UACGAAGGGGGCUAGCGUUGUUCGGAAUCACUGGGCGUAAAGCGCACGUAGGCGGACAGGUAAGUUGGGGGUGAAAGCCCAGGGCUCAACCCUGGAAAUGCCUCCGAUACUGUCUGGCUAGAGUUAGGGAGAGGUGAGUGGAAUUCCUAGUGUAGAGGUGAAAUUCGUAGAUAUUAGGAAGAACACCAGUGGCGAAGGCGGCUCACUGGCCCGCUACUGACGCUGAGAUGCGAAAGCGUGGGUAGCAAACAGG